GACCCGGCGAAAUUGCAGUACGAGUAAAGAUGCUCGUUACGCGCGGCAGGACGAAAAGACCCCGGGACCUUCACUAUAGCUUGGUAUUGGUGUUCGGUUCGGUUUGUGUAGGAUAGGUGGGAGACUGUGAUGCCUCAACGCCAGUUGGGGUGGAGUCGUUGUUGAAAUACCACUCUGAUCGUAUUGGACAUCUCAACCUCGGCCCGUGAUCCGGGUUAGGGACAGUGCCUGGUGGGUAGUUUAACUGGGGCGGUU
rnacentral:rRNA from 1 species